UAGACAACAGGGAUUGCCUCAGUAACGGCGAGUGAAGCGGCAAUAGCUCAAAUUUGAAAUCUGGCUCUUUUAGGGUCCGAGUUGUAAUUUGCAGAGGGCGCUUUGGCGUUGGCAGCGGUCCAAGUUCUUUGGAACAGGACGUCACAGAGGGUGAGAAUCCCGUACGUGGUCGCUAUCCUUCGCCGUGUAAAGCCCCUUCGACGAGUCGAGUUGUUUGGGAAUGCAGCUCUAAAUGGGAGGUAAAUUUCUUCUAAAGCUAAAUACUGGCCAGAGACCGAUAGCGCACAAGUAGAGUGAUCGAAAGAUGAAAAGCACUUUGGAAAGAGAGUCAAAUAGCACGUGAAAUUGUUGAAAGGGAAGCGCUUGCAGCCAGACUUGCCUGUAGUUGCUUAUCCAGACUUUUGUCUGGUGCACUCUUCUGCGGGCAGGCCAGCAUCAGUUUGGGCGGUUAGAUAAAGGUCUCUGUCAUGUACCUCUCUUCGGGGAGGCCUUAUAGGGGAGACGACAUGUAACCAGCCUGGACUGAGGUCCGCGCAUCUGCUAGGAUGCUGGCGUAAUGGCUGUAAGCGGCCCGUCUUGAAACACGGACCAAGGAGUCUAACAUCUAUGCGAGUGUUUGGGUGUCAAGCCCAGACGCGUAAUGAAAGUAAACGGAGGUAAGAACCCUUUGGGUGCAUUAUCGACCGAUCCUGAUGUCUUCGGAAGGAUUUGAGUAAGAGCAUGGCUGUUGGGACCCGAAAGAUGGUGAACUAUGCUUGAAUAGGGUGAAGCCAGAGGAAACUCUGGUGGAGGCUCGCAGCGGUUCUGACGUGCAAAUCGAUCGUC
rnacentral:rRNA from 1 species